AUUGUUGUCCGUCCUCUUCAGUACUUUGGAAAUGUGAGUAAGACUGUGUCUGAACUGAGAGAAACUAGAAAACUUCCUUAAAGGAGAAUGGACCAAGAUCUCCACUACAGUGAAUAUAGUGGAUGUUGUACUGCCUCCAGAGCCCAAGACCAGAGAACAGUUGUUACAAUAUUCCUGUCAGCUCACACUGGACCCAAACACAGCACACACACACCUC